GUCGAGGAGAGUAUCCUCAGGUGAGCGAGAGAACUCUCGUUAAGGAACUCGGCAAAAUGGCCCCGUAACUUCGGGAGAAGGGGCGCUGGUCGCAAGAUCAGCCGCAGUGAAAAGGCCCAAGCAACUGUUUAUCAAAAACACAGGCAUCUGCAAAAUCGUAAGAUGAAGUAUAGGUGCUGACACCUGCCCGGUGCUGGAAGGUUAAGAGGAGAGCUUAGCGCAAGCGAAGGUUUGAAUUGAAGCCCCAGUAAACGGCGGCCGUAACUAUAACGGUCCUAAGGUAGCGAAAUUCCUUGUCGGGUAAGUUCCGACCUGCACGAAAGGUGUAAUGAUUUGGGCACUGUCUCAACGAGAGACUCGGUGAAAUUAUAAUACCCGUGAAGAUGCGGGUUACCCGCGACAGGACGGAAAGACCCCAUGGAGCUUUACUGCAGUUUAAUAUUGGGUAUCUGUCAAGCAUGUACAGGAUAGGUAGGAGCCGGAGAAGAUAGGACGCCAGUCUUAUCAGAGGCGCUGUUGGGAUACUACCCUUGCUUGACGGAUGCUCUAACU
rnacentral:rRNA from 1 species